rnacentral:rRNA from 1 species
GACGUAAGGGGCCAGCGUUGUCCGGAAUUACUGGGCGGAAAGAGCACGUAGGUGGCCUAGCAAGCGGCGGGUGAAAGCCCGCGGCUCAACUGCGGAACGGCUCGACGAACUGCUAGGCUCGAGCGCGGGAGAGGGCAGUGGAAUUCCUGGUGUAGCGGUGGAAUGCGUCAAUAUCAGGAAGAACACCGGGGGCGAAGGCUGCUGCCUGGAACGUUGCUGACGCUGAGGUGCGAAAGCUAGGGGAGCGAACGGG